ACGCUCGCUCGCUCGCUCGCUCUAACACGCCCGUCGUACCAGCAGUCUCUCUUUCUCGCGCACCCCCGCGACGCACCACCAGCAGCUUGGACCACCACCCUCUCUUAUCGAUUCCUGCGCCAUUCCGCCUCCCGUCAUUCCUGUCAAAUCAAUAAGCACCGCGCCGGCUUUCUCGCUGCCGCCGCUGGGAUAGAAGCGGCAUCGAGAUGCGAAACCCUCUCUGGCUGGGGUAGCGCGCAGGACAUGAGAGAGGGCGAACCCUGGACCAGGUGGCGGGAGCUGCCAUGAAGCAUCAACCGCCUGGAGAUGGUGAUCCUGUCGUUUAACUGGAUCCUGCGGAAGAAGGGCAGCGCAGAGUGCUGACAUGGCUCUAAAGGAGGUUCACAGAUGAAUGGUGAAUUAGGGAUGAAGAAAGGAGAGAAGGGAAAAGCAGAGAGAGAAAGGAGGAGUAGAUAGGAUGAACAGAGAAGCUAGAGUACAGAUCUUGUUAAUUCUAUGCACAUGCAUAUACAGAACAGAAGAAAGACAAUAUAACGAAAGAAAUAAAUGGAAGAAAAUGAAAGAAGAAAAUAAAUCGUACAGUAAAGCCUUAUUGUGCAUUUCUUGGAAAUCUUAGAACAUUAUAUAGACGACUAGAACUUCUGUUGCAACUAUGCAGAAUAUUAAAUGAAAUGAAAGAAUACUAAAGAUGUGCAUAAAUGUGUUCAGAUAAAGGCGAACUAUUAAUCAAGAUUAAAAUUAUUCAUAGAAGUUUUAUUCUUAGUUUUACUUAACAGAUAUUAUGAAGAAAAUAUAUUUGCAAACUAUUAAUUGGUAUGAUUAUUAGUGUUUAUCAAAGUAAAUAGAGGAAAUAAAAGGGAAUGAAAGAAGAUGAUGAGACGAGAGUUAGUUGGCCGAUAGUCAACAUGGAGCACGAGAGAUUGGAGAUGGUGUAUCAGGUGAAAAUUGUAGAACGAAUAAGAGUGGAGGAAUUAUCGAAGUACUAGUAGUGGUGUAUGAAGAACGUUUGAGAUUACUCUGAGUCAGAGGAGCUCUAUGGAUGUUGCACUUACUGAAGCACUGGAAUGAAAAGAAUUAAGGAUCUGUGAACCAGAGAGUUUCAAAAAUUCUUGGAAUGUGAGACGAGCACUAAAUAAUUUAGAAGAUCUCGAGAAUCUAGAAUUUAAAGAAUCCGGAUUCUGAAGUGGUUACUUUGCAACAAAUAUGAGGGCUAGACUAACCGGGGUACGAGGAAUAUAAAAACACGAGCGUCUAGGAUUCGAGGUAGCUGUAAUAAUUUAUGAGUUCCAGUAUCCAAGAUUCAAGAAAGAUCUAAGAUCGAGAAAGUUCAUACCUAAUGAUAUCACAUUAUUUUAAAAAGUUAAAAUCUACAAACUGAAUUUAGACAAAUCUAUGAAACUCUGAUUUAUUUGUGAUUUAUUUGAGACUAAAAUUCUUGCUAAUUUUAAUUGCAAUAAUUAGAGUUUGAUACUUUCCAUCAUCUAUUAUUCCGUUAGCAAGAAAAGACGGGCUUGCUUCUUCCUGCAGAAUUCAAUCUAAUUAUUGUUGUUUGCGCAACUUGGACUCCUUGGAGAUUUAUCAUCAUCAUAUCUUCUUACCUGCUAGUCAAUUUUACAGCGAAUUGUCGUCAUGAAGUUUCAUUUCUAAAUUUAAACACACAAAAGAUUACACAGCCUGCAAAAGCCAUUUAUAACUGACACAGCUGUUUUAUGUCAGUGAAUUUGUUCGAGAUCGAGUGUCGCAAUACAUUCCGAAAUGAUCAUAAUCGUCUGAUAAAUAAUAAAGUUAAUGAAAA